rnacentral:tRNA from 1 species
GUCUCUGUGGCGCAAUUGGUUAGCGCGUUCGGCUGUUAACCGAACGGUUGCUGGUUCAAGCCCAGCCAGGGACG